CUUUUCAUGUGAACCCAGCAGAGCAAAGGCGCCAAUCACUGGUCUCCUUCCCUCGCUGUCGUGACUCUUCCCUCCGUCAAUUCCAGCCACCACGUCCGUGUCGUCGUUAUUCCCCGUCACUGAUCUCCUCCCUCCACCGUGUAGCUCCCGCGCGCGAAGGUAAACUGAAAGGGGUCGUCCAAGUCUUCUCCUUCCUCUGUGCACGUCCGUGACGUCGUCGGCGGUCGCCCCAACCAUCCGUCCCGGUGUCGUCGUCGGCAGCCUUCCCCCUUGCCCUUGCCCUGUUGUGCGUUGCCGAUUGCCCCCUCUCCCCUCUCUCUGGUUCUGUAACGCGCGGAUAUCUCGGAGAUUUGAAAAAAAUUAUUUGGGGUGUGUCUCUAAGGUGGCAUUUGAAAGUGAUGUGAUCUCACUCUUCCAGAAUACUAAGAUGGUUGAUGGAUGAAGAAGAACAAGGCGUUACUGACAUAGACACCAGUGUCAUCCAUGCCCUUGAAGAGUUACAUAGAAGUCUUGAGAAGAGAGAUGUUGAGGGGCCAAGAGUCAAACUAAAGAAUGUAUCAUGGGCCAUCACAACCUUAGCUUUGAAGCGAACUGCAGCUCCUGUUUUGAGUGAAGAAUUGGACCCCAUGUUACACCUGUCACUAUUAACCCAAGUGAUUUGCGUGGUUCUUUUCACAAAGGAAAGGAUGACAAUGACACAAAUUGUUGGACUUCUCCUAGUGGAAAAGGAUUUAUGAUCAAGGGAAAGAAGUAACUUGUUCUCAUAUGUUCCUCCUUUUGAAUUGCAGUCGGAAGCUGGGAAAAAAGCUUCCAUUUAUCCUUGUCAUUAAUCUUCAGGGUUUUAGAGAGGCAAAGGAUAUGGCUUCAGAACUCCUUACACUGCAAUAAUUGAUGCUUUAUUAAAAUGUGGCUCAGUUAAGGGUGACAAUUGCUCUUGCAGUAUAUGCUAACUGGAGCUUUGAAGGAAUCAAGGGAAGGGGAUGAGAUUGGGCUGGUGCAAUCUAUCUGUUGUUUAUUUAGUGUUUCUUUAUAUUAAUAUCUCAAGUAUAAUAAAUAUGAUGUAAAGAAAAUAUGUUAUAGUAAAGAGAAAUGGUAUAAUCCAUUUGAGUAGUUAAUUAGCUUUUUUUUUUAAAGCUCUUGUAUGAACUUGCGGCUGUUUAAAACUGUCGCAUUUUUUAAAAAAAACCCCACAUAAAUCUGCGGCGGUUUCAAAAUCGUCGCAGAUUUUUUUUAAAUCCACUACUGAAAUAGCAGCGGUUCUGCAACCGCCGCAAAAUUAAUUAUUUGAUUUGCGGCGGUUGUGCCAGCGGUUAGUUAGAACCGCCGCAAAAUCAUAUUACCACUCCCUAAUAGGCAACGCUUAACAAACCGCUGGAAUUCUGUUUUGCGGCGGUUUUUAACCACCGCAAAUCCCUAAAAGAACCGCCGCUAUUCGGCGUGUCUCUUGUAGUUAACUACUGAGUUAUAUAAGCGCGU